rnacentral:rRNA from 1 species
ACUGGGAUCAUCCUUAAGCUUGAUUUCAAAAAAGCUUACGACAAAGUCAAUUGGGAUUUCCUUCUUGAUUUUCAUGCUAAGAGAGGGUUCAAUACUAAGUGGUGUGGGUGGGUAUCUCAGAUCCUUCCUGAUGGCACGGUUAGUGUCAAGAUCAAUGAUGAAAUUGGGCCCUAUAUGAAAAGUGCCAAAGGGGUGCGUCAAGGUGACCCUCAUUCCCCUUUUCUGUUCAAUUUGGUCGCUGAGUGUUUGACCAAGAUGGUCCUGGCUGCCCAAAAAAAUAAGAUGUUUGAGGGGCUAGCUCCUGAUCUCAUUGAGGGGGGAGUGGGGAUUUUGCAGUAUGCAAACGACACAGUAAUAUGCUUCUCC